UGCAGUCGAGCGAGACCUUCGGGUCUAGCGGCGGACGGGUUAGUAACGCGUGGGAAUAUACCCUUCACUACGGAAUAGCCUCGGGAAACUGGGAGUAAUACCGUAUACGCCCUUUUGGGGAAAGAUUUAUCGGUGAAGGAUUAGCCCGCGUCUGAUUAGAUAGUUGGUGGGGUAAUGGCCUACCAAGUCUACGAUCAGUAGCUGGUUUGAGAGGAUGAUCAGCAACACUGGGACUGAGACACGGCCCAGACUCCUACGGGAGGCAGCAGUGGGGAAUCUUAGACAAUGGGCGCAAGCCUGAUCUAGCCAUGCCGCGUGAGUGACGAAGGCCUUAGGGUCGUAAAGCUCUUUCGCCAGAGAUGAUAAUGACAGUAUCUGGUAAAGAAACCCCGGCUAACUCCGUGCCAGCAGCCGCGGUAAUACGGAGGGGGUUAGCGUUGUUCGGAAUUACUGGGCGUAAAGCGCACGUAGGCGGAUUGGAAAGUAUGGGGUGAAAUCCCAGGGCUCAACCCUGGAACUGCCUUGUAAACUCCCAGUCUAGAGUUCGAGAGAGGUGAGUGGAAUUCCAAGUGUAGAGGUGAAAUUCGUAGAUAUUUGGAGGAACACCAGUGGCGAAGGCGGCUCACUGGCUCGAUACUGACGCUGAGGUGCGAAAGUGUGGGGAGCAAACAGGAUUAGAUACCCUGGUAGUCCA
rnacentral:rRNA from 1 species